rnacentral:rRNA from 1 species
CCUACGGGAGGCUGCAGUGGGGAAUAUUGCACAAUGGGGGAAACCCUGAUGCAGCGACGCCGCGUGAGUGAAGAAGUAUUUCGGUAUGUAAAGCUCUAUCAGCAGGGAAGAAGAAAGACGGUACCUGACUAAGAAGCCCCGGCUAACUACGUGCCAGCAGCCGCGGUAAUACGUAGGGGGCAAGCGUUAUCCGGCUUUACUGGGUGUAAAGGGAGCGUAGACGGCUGUGCAAGUCUGAAGUGAAAGCCCAGGGCUCAACCCUGGGACUGCUUUGGAAACUGUGGAGCUAGAGUGCUGGAGCGGUAAGUGGAAUGCCUGGGGUAGCGGUGAAAGGCGUAGAGAUCAGGCGGAACACCAGUUGCGAAGGCGGCUUACUGAACAGUAACUGACGUUGAGGCUCGAAAGCGUGGGGAGCAAACAGGAUUAGAUACCCGGGUAGUC